UUCUUGGGAAACGUCACGAAGGGCAAGCCCAGCCGGCACCUGCUCAGGGUAAGGAAGUGGAUCACCUCCGCGGCAGGCGCUCUCUGUGUGACUUACAUCACUUGGCCCAGCGUCCCGGCCAUCAUUAGGAGGAAUUCACCGAAAUGAUGCUGACGUUUUAGUUGACAUGGUGGUCUUCUAGUCGCGUCCUUGAAGACUCAUUAGUGAAUAAAUCACAUUUAGUCAGCUUUUUUAGGUGUGAAAUCAUCUUGGCUGUGUGGCACACUUUAGGGAAAGGAGCUCCUGGCUGAAUGGAAGACAUUCACAUUAACCCCUCAAAUACCUUAUCUUCGGGGUGACCCCUGGGAAGCAAGGGGUGGAGGGGGUCUCCUCGGCAGGGAUAAUUGAUGUUGUUUAAAGACGCGUUUCCAUGGCAUGACUCGGUUAUUCCUACUGCAAGAUGAAAAUCAUUAAUAGCAUUUAUUACUAUCUUACGUUGCCAGCUGUGUGCCCUUGGAAAAUCCCUUCACCUGUCAGCUCUGUGGGCCUCAGUCUCUUUCUCUGUAAAGCAGGGUUAACAGGGGAGUGGAAGUGUGCUCUUUGUGAAGUGUCUAGACAGCAUGUGGCAUGUGGCUGUAGGAUAAGCAUUGUUUCUGAGGGUGGUCCUUAUAUGAAUGUUAUGUCAUCUGCACUUGUUGUCCUCUUGCCGCUAGAAUGGAAGCUCCUUGAGGGCAGAGUCCUUGUUUGUCUUGCCUGGUGCUGUGUCCCCAGGUGUGCACAGUAGGUGUGAUGCUGAAUGAAUGAAUAGGCGACAUGACCUGUUUUCUUGGUUGAAUUCUCUUUGAGGCCUCCUGGAAUGGAGUGCAUGGAGGACAGUCACCUGAACCUGUGCUGUCCCUGUGACACAGCCCCACCCACCCUCUGAGGAUGCUGCACUGGAAGAGGAGUCACCAGCCUUCAGGUCAGGUCCUCCCUCAACCCCCUGUGUUGAGGGACCUUGGUGUCCCAGCCCCCCUAGGAUAGGUGACCAGGGGCCGACUCGAGCUCGGGCUGACCCACGCUGUGUGUGCGCAUGGCCUCACCCACACCGCCUGCUCCACAGCUACAGGAGCUGGUCCAUGACCAACCGUGUUCUGACCACUGCCUGGGGGGCUCCUCGGAGGUAGAGAAAGAGAGAGAAAGAGAGCAAGAGGGGAGAGAGCGAGCGAGCGAGCCAGCAAGCCUGCAGCUGGAGUCAGCAGGGAGGCCCCGAAGGCAAUGCCACCUUUGGUGAAGAGGCAUCUCGGUGUGUUCUUGCCUGUGCUGACGUUUGACCCUUGAGCAGAGGUUGCCCUUGGUGAAUUCGCUUUAUUUAUGUUGAAUCACACAAAGGCAACUUUUGUUUGAGUAUCAAAUCCUGCUUGGGAUGGCUUCCGGGACCCAGUGGCAAGCUCAGGGGCAUCUACGCCCCUCCCUUGAGCAAGAAUGGAUGGGGUAGACGUGGGUGGUCUGCCCUCUGCAGUCCUCUGCGGUGGAUGAGAACAGAUGUCGAUCAGAGAACACAAGCUUCAUUCAUGAUGGGGGUGGGGCCUGCGGCCCGGGGAGGAUGGCGUUGGUGUCACAUGGGCUUUAGCUCUUACCCUGGACCCUCUCUCUUCACAUCACCAUGUUGGCUGUGUUGAUCCCGAAGACGUUUCGACCGCACCAAGUUUUUUUCGAAAGAUAUUUGACCUUGCGGAUAAACAAAGUGCUCACCCUUGGCAGUGUCUGUGACGAGGCUGCAGCCCCAGACCCCUGUCUCGCUCACAAGUGCUGUGUUUUUUUUCUAUGCCUUUCCUUGUCUCUAUUUUUCUCUUUCUAUCCCCCAGCCAAACAUUGGUCCCAAUUUUCUCCUGGGUUAUGAAACAAAUAGAGGCCAUCAGUAUCUCAUCCCAUUUGUAUUAAAUAAUAGUGAUAAAAACAAUCAACACAAAAUAAAACUAAAGCAGCUGAAACGGCACAGCACUAAAUGUGUUCAGUUGAGUACAAAUUGGCAGAAGAAUCCAAUUUUCUUGACAACAUUUCGGCUGCGACAUUUGACCUGGGGAAAUAGAAAGCUGCCGACGUGGCAGCCGCAGAAGGAAAUUGAUGGUGGCGGCGGCGAUAAACAGCAAUAUUCGAUGUAGACAAAAGCACAUUGAGGAACCAAAUCUUUAUUCAGAUUUUUAAAUGGAAAAGAAUUGAUCCUAAUGAAAAUGAUUUGGGGAAAAUAACAAGGGAAAUAAAAGAAAUGCAAACAGCUCAACAGCGCAGUCAAGACAGCUAAACAGGGAAUUGGAUUAGUGUAAUGGCAUUCGCUCUGAAAAACACGUUUCUAUGAAAAUCAGUGUCGGUGCAAUUCUUGUGAAGAUGGUUACAUUUGUGUAUUUACAGUGGAGUUGCUGGGGUCAGUAGGAAUCUAGGGUCAAAAAAUGGGAUACAGUCUCUUCCCUUAUGCAGUUGAUCUUUCCUUUCUGCCCCAAACCUUCCCGAGAGCUUCCUGGAAAGGUGUGCUGACUUCAGGUGUGACACACUGCUAAGGCGUCCUCCCGGGGAUCUGGGUGCAUGUUGUCCCCAGAAUAUUCACUAUGUAACUGACAGGCAUCACCUGGUCUCCCUCCAUCCCCACGGGGGAUUCUGGGUGAGACGCUGACUCGAGGGAAGCAGAAGUUCUACCAUCAUUGGGGUCUGGUCUUUCAGGACAGUUGCUUCUGUGAGCCCAGGAAAUCUGAGACAGCUCUCAGUUAAUUUAGAAGGUUUAUUUUGCCAAAGUUGAGGAUACACCCAUAACACAGCCUCAGGACGUCCUGUGGUCAAGGCACAGCUUGGCUUUAUAAAUUUUAGGGAGACAUGAGACAUCAUUCAACAUACGUAAGAAGUACAUUGGUUUGGCCUGCAAAGGUGGGACGACUUGAAGCGAAGGCAGGAAGAAGGAGGGAGCCUCCAGGUCACAGAUGGGUGAUACACAAACAAUUAUAUUCUUUCGCAUUUCUGAUGAGCCUUUCCAAAGGAGGCAAAUCAAAUACGCAUCUGUCUCAGUGAGCACAGGGGUGACUUUGAAUGAAAUGAGAGGCAGGUUUAUCCUGAGCAGUUUCCAGCUUGACUUUUCCUUCGUGAUUUUAGGGGCCCGAGAUACUUUCCUUUCACACUUCCGAGGCUGUUGCUGAACACACAGGAAUCCGGGAACACUCUGAGGUUUAGUCCUUCCUCAGACUGUGCUGUUGACACCUUACAUGGUUCCAUGCUGGUCCCAAGGACAUGCCCUUCGUUGGUGCUGAAUGUCAGUUGGUCAUGGAGGCCGAAAGUCAUUCUGGAGUUGGUUUCCAAGAUCGAGCCCUACCUGGAGAAUUUCCAGAAGCAACAGCACCCUCAAGGGGCAGCCUGCAGCCAGAGCCCUCUCCAGGGUAGGUGCCUGAGGGCCACCCAUGGGACAGGCCCGAUUGUACCCAUGGUGUGUGUCAUCUGCUCCCCUCCUGCCGACUCCAGUGCGUUCCGGGACCGCCUUGGGAGGUGAUGCCUGCCCUGGGAAGGAGGUUCUGCUGCAGGUCAGUGCCCAUGGCUCCUGACGGGAAGUCGUCUGUGACAUCUUUUCUUUCUCUACAGCAGGCCCCGCAUGGCAGGCCCCUUGCUCCACUUGUAGCAAGAUGCAGAGGGUUCUCUGAGCUCAUGCCAACGUCAGGGAAAGGAUUCUGCUGUCGGUCCCACUCCAAAGUGCAUAGAAUGGGUGGUGGGCACAGAAUCCGGACUCUGCUUGUGGCAGCUGUCGUCCGGCCCGAUGCUUGUUGGCUGCCCGCUCCAGGAGGCGCCUUCUGGGUGUUCUCUGAGUCUGGGGAAGGUUGGGUUCUGAGGUCAGGGCUGCCCUGACCCUUGUAAAGAGAAGACAUCUGUGACUCUCCUGCUUUCUUCUGCUGCGUUUAUCCCCCCAGUCCCUUAUUUUUAACGUCUCACUUGCUUUAUGAGGCUAAUCAGAUGGUCAGCCAGCUGUUGAUAACUGUGAAGUCACCCUCUGAGGGAUCCUGGGGUGAUGCCUCUGUGGGCUGGAGAUGGUGCUGGUGAGACCGCGGGUCUGGGGUCAGCGUUGUGCCCUGUUGAGCUCCUGCCAAAGGCAUCCUCUGCUGGGAGGGAGGCUCUGUGCUUGUGCAGGGGUCCCUAUAGGGUCACCCCCUCUCAGGGUCUGGGAAUGAAAAGCAGGUGCGAGCAGCAGGGUUUCAUCUUCAUCUUUAGCAAGGUGCCCAAGGAAGGUUGCCGUCUUUUCAGUAUAAGAUCCUACCUGGGUCUUGCACUCACCUUCUGGGAAGAGGCUCCAGAGUCAUUCUGGAAGGGGUUGGAAUGGUUGGACUUGGCAAUUGGGAACAUCCUUGGAGAGUGUGAGACUCUGGUCUCUGAAUGUCCAGACCUUGUGCUGCCCUUGGGGGAGGGUCUUCCGCAAUCACGGCCGCCUGCAAGCAUCCUCCUUAGUUCGAGCAUCUGAGCCUCUCCGUGGUACUCGGGGAGAGGUUACCCGAGCAACUUUGCAUCUGGACGACGAAUGUUGCUCGGUGAACCCCUUUUCGGUAUCAAAUUCCACCAGGGAGGCCGUCUUGGAGGCUGGGGCACCUCGGGGAAGGACGCCAGCAUCAGCACCAUUCUGGGGUACGGGGAUGGAUGGUCGACCAGUUGGAAAGUAAUUGUUUCUAAUGUACUUCACCUGGUCCACUAGCCGUCCGUAUCCGCUGCAGCCUGUGGGGCCUGCGGGCCGGGGAGCCGAUCGCGCUUCAGCUCAGCGCCUUUCCUGGUACUUGAAGGGAGAUCGACCGUGUUAUAUUCGCUUUAUUGACUUCGAAUAAUACAUGGUUGAUCUUUUCUCAGUAUCAAAUCUCACCUUGGAGGACUCGUUGGAGAUGAAGCCCUUUGGAGGGUGGGAGCGGAACAGGUGCUUUGGAGUCACGGUCUCAGUGGGGGCCUGGUCACUGAGGGUGGGCCGGGCGGGGUCUCUUUCCUGUCUCUGUGUCUUCUCACCUUUGGUGUCCCAUCCAUCCUCAGGACAGCUUCCCGGGGGCGACGCUGGCACCACGGGAUGCAGCAGCCACGUUCUUGAGCCGAUGGCACUCUGGGUACCUGAGGAGAGGUUGUCUGUGAUGAGUUCGCUUUUAUUAAUGACGAAUAUAACACAGAUGGCCUGUUUUCAGUACCGCUACCGCCCAGUGGUGUGCGGGCGCCACGCCUGAGUGGGCCUUUUCAGGGUAUGUGAAUGCAUGGGCUGAGGUGACAUUUGUCAUCCUUUGCACUGACCCCUGCCAUCGAAUCAUUUUGGGAGAGCUUUCGGGGGGCCAUGUGGACUUUGGGGAAGAUGCUGGGGUUGUGCACUGGGGUGGGGAGCGGUCAUGAAGCUGAUGAGCAAUGGGUGACGGGGCUCAGUCUGUUUUUCAUGGCCAGUGCCAUCAAGGCAGAGGACUCGGGGGAGCUAGUCCUGCUGGAAGGCAUCCUGCUGGAAGGCCACCCGCCCCUUGCCAGGGUGUUGGGGGCGGCUGCAUGCAUUCCCUGCACCCGGGCUGCCUUCUGCUCGUCCAGUGCUGUGAGACCCUGGGUGGGAGCCGGUGCCUUGGGUGGCCGUGUGUGUGUGCUGCUUCCCACAGUGCCUGAGGAGAGGUGGCCUGUGUUGCAUUCACAGAAAUCAUGACACACAAGACACGAUCAGUCUCUCUUCAGUGUCAGAUCCUGCCUGCAUGAUUCCUGCACCUGCUGAUGUCGGGGAGGGCCAGAUGUGCACCCUGGGGGUCCCCAGAAGGCAUGGCUGGUGGCCGAGCAAGCGCUUGACUUCCACCUGCAGCCCUGUGCUGGCCUCCGCCCUGGAGGCAGGUGGCGGGUGGCAGGGCCCGUCACUGAGGAAGAAGCCUCCUCCCCGGAGUCAGCGCUGCUCAGUGGUACCUGAAAUAGGUUGCCUGUGAGGUGUUCACUUUCUAUAUGAUGAAUAUUAUACAGUCAACCUCUUUCCGAUAUCGAAUCCCACCUUGGAUGCCUUCCUCUUCGCUGCCGACUCCAGGCAGCAGCUGUCUCUGCGCUGGUUGACCCCAUGGACUUUGUGUAGGACCUGUGUCACCUGGCCUGUUAAUUUUCCAGCUCCACCCUGUUCUGGAGGGCUUUGGAAGUGUGACAGAAUGGCAUCCCCGAUUCCAGUGUCAGUGGCAGCACCCGCCAUGCCCUUGCUUCGGUCGGCACGUCCUCCAGGCUGGGCUGGCCUUCAGCUACCUGAUGCUUAUGUCAUAUUUGCACCCCUGGCCUGCCCAGACUACAGGAAGAUGACCAGAGGCCUGUUUGCAGCUGACCUGGAGACUUAGUGACUCCAGAAUGUGCUGCCCAUGCCCAGGGUCCAGGGCCGAAGGCAAGGAGCACCUCAGGAGUGACCCCAAAGAAUGAGCUACGGCUGCCCUUUACCGCUCAUUGUUGAUCAGUGAGUUCCUGGGCUCGGGAGGGCUUCGUGAGCCUGGCUCCCAUCAUCCCUAUUGAGACAUCACUGCCUUGGAAGUCGCAGCCCUGUGCCUGCCUUCCCUCUUGUGGGCUUCUCCUCAGGACCGCUCCUCUCUGUGCCCAGCAUGGGAGUGGGGAUCCCCAGCACCGUCCCUCUGGGCUGCUGCUGCCACUCUCCCUCGGCACCCCUGUUCCCCAGCCCCUGGGCCACACCCUGCUGGAGAGGCCGGCCCUACUAGCUAGGCCCCUCUGGCCACUUGGGUCUCCCUCCAGUGCCCCCUCCCUCUGCCAAGGAGAGCAUUUGCAAGUGCAGAGUCCAGCUGUUUACCUGCACUGCCCAGAGCACCUCUGCAGGCCCCUUCCCUCGGGCUUGGUGCCAAGAUGGUCCGAGGACUCCCCAGGCCCCCGGAGUGGCAGCCCCCCUCUUCUUUUGGAGCCACAGCCUAUCCCCCAUGUGUUUCCAUCCUUCGUUCUGGCCCUGCACACGCCCCUCCUUCCGGAGCUGAGUCCUGGGCGGCCCUGCUCUGCCCUCGGCUACCUCCUGUCCAGGCUCCAGCCCUUCCUUCCUUAGAGGCCCACAUCCUUUGCAUUUUCCUUUCCCAGGGGUUCACACUUCCCAAGGGGAUGGAAUGUCUCUUGUUCAGCAAGGUCGUCCCUGAUAACCCUGUAAAAGCAGCUCUUCCCUUGCCUCUUCCCCAUCACUUUCUAACAGUUGCCCCGUUACUGUUUUCUUCCUAGCUUACAGCUCUCUGAAAUUGCCUAAUGUUAAUGUCUACUUUCUCUGUGUCCUAGACUGUGAGAUCUCUCACUGGCAGAAAUUUCUCUCUCUCUCUCUUAUCCUCUGCUGUGUCCCCAGCACUGAAACAGUAGCAGAACAGGAGUGUUUGUUGACUGACUAAUGGAGUCCCCAAAGACAGGGACUGGAUCAGGUGAAUCCCCAGGCAGGUGCAGGGCCCAAAAGCAGGCACUCAAUAAGAUGUGGUGAUGGAGUACAUGAAUAUGUUAAUCGAGUUUUAGAAAUUCUUCCCAUUUGUUCAAAGCUGUGGUUUUCCAGCUUUUCCUGCCCUUCCAGGAUGGGGCUGAGAUUUGUUGCAGGAGGCACAAGUCAGCUGGGUCUGGGUUCUCUCUUCCACUUUCCAGAGAGUAGGGGCACCAAAGCCCCAGAGGAAGUGACAAGCCCCGUGUUCCCCUGCAGAUGCUGACUGAGCGCGCCCCCGCCCCUCCAGCAAACGCCCCAGCGUUGAGAGCCAGAUGCUCUGGGGAAUUCCAUCUGCAACGGGCUGGAGCAUGGUGUUAGGGCUCAUAUUUUAUGCAUGGGGCUGACUAAAUGGGAACAUUUGGAGAUGAAAAUUGCUGUUAAUGCAUCUACACAUCUUUGGAAUAUAUUAAAUGUGCGUGUGAGGGGGAGAGUGACAUUAGCCUUAUUUAAUAGCUUCAGUGUAACCAUCCCCACACACCGUGGCAUUAACAGACACAAGCCCCCCUCCCCGAGCCUCCCAGGCCACCACUCGGGAAGAGUGCUGGGUGCAUCACCUGCCACUUGAGAAUUACACGUGAGUCCGGCAUCAGCCUGGCAUUCGGCAGUGUGCAUGUUCCCCGCCCAUUUCUAACCCAAACACAGUGACCCUGUGCCAAACUCGAUGCAGAAUUUCAUUAAAAGCAAAAAUGAUUGAUUUCUCUAUUGUUUGCGCAGAAGAAAGAAUAAACAAAGGGCCUUUCUCAUCAGAUAAGCCAAACGAGAACGUGUGCCCCCCAGGUGGCCAGGAUGAAGGUUUUCACGGACCCUUCAGCCAGAGGGCCAGUGACUUGUCCCAUCUCCAGGGUGGUGUGUAAACCCUGCCGCCGGUCCAGGUUCACGAGGUGUGCUCCUUUCUCCAGCGCAAGGGCCCGGUUUAUCCCCACUAUGUCUCCUGGAGGUGGUUAGGAAAUUGAACAACCUGGACCUCCGUUCCCAUUUCCUUGUUGUUUUCAGCCAGAGAUAAGAGGAGAAGUAAUAGCUGUCCUAAAGGGGUGCUUGCCUUGGUCCUGGGCCCCAUCAGCUGCUGUGAGUGGACAGUUUCUGUUCCACAGUUGAGGAAAUGGAGCACAGAGAGGUUGAGUGACUCAACCAAGGUCACCCAGCUGGAGGUGGGGCAGGGUCUGGCUCCAGGCUGUGUGCUCUUACCCUGCUUGCAAGGGCUUUAGGAAUAGCCCCUGUGUCCUGGAAGACAGAUUGCUCAUCAAAUGGGCCUCUUUUCUUGGUAUUAUAUGGUGAAGUAGGCUCACUUUCCCCAAGACUUAGCUUUCCAGAAUGUUCAUGGUUUUUUUCUCUGUACCCACCCCUCGUCUCUCCAACAUGGUGCCGUCACCCAUGAAAUGGGAUGCUUUCGUGCGUGCCUGGCCUGGGGAGAGGGCUGCUUGCUUUGUCAGAAGACUCCAAGCAUGAUGGGCAUUGAAAAACCAAAGACCUUUGUUGACCUGUGUUUUUCACUCUGCUUAAUGGUAAUUGAGGGCUGUAUUCACUGCCUCGGUUGCAUGGAGUGAACAAGACCUAGCGAAGGUGACGGGUGCCCUGAGACCAUCUGGUUGAUCUCUCCUGGGCAGGACCAGGUGCUCCCCUCACUGCCCCCACCCUUGUCUGUGUACCACUACUCUGCACAAACACGGCGGCUGGUGCAGUCCUGGAGGCCCACUUAGCUCACGGUUGUCAGGGGUCCUCAAGGAUUCAGAGAACCCCCAAAUGUCAGGGCUGCUCCCUUCUUGUCCUGCCUCUCUGCUCACACCCUUGGACAGGUAAGAAAACCGAGGUCCACAGAGGGGAGGGUGCACUGCUGUGGCUUUUGUUCUGAACACUGUCUCCCCAACUUUGGGGUCGGGGCUCCGGGGUCAAGACCCACUUCUGAUGAACAAGCAGCUUCCUUCUUUGUAAAAAUUGAGGCGAUCCAAACCAAGAAGGGCUGCAAAAUCACCAAGUUGGGACCUCAGUACCCACGGGGCUAGGGUUUCAGCCACCCUGUGGCAGAGCUUUUAGAAGCCAGGGCCCUUGGCUCAGCAGUGCUGGCUCAUAGUAGGUGCUUAGUUCAUGCCUGUCUCCUUGGAUGAAAUCUGACCACAGACACCAGUGCAAAGCAGGUGUUCAACACAGGAGGGUGUACUGAACCCGAUCUCUCUAUCACCAGGAGGAAGCACACAGGAGGCAUGCAGAGCACGUUUGUGGAAUGAAUAAAUAAAAACGUAUCUUUGAGGAAAUAAAGAAGAAGAAAAACAAAGAAGAAUCCGGGGAAGAUGGGCAUAAAUCUCCACCAAGUGCUGCCAAGGCUUCCCAACCAAGGCUGCUGAAAAGACCCUGUGGAGAGUCUCAGUCCCUGCUCUGCCACCAUCUCCUCCUCCGAUCUCCUUUCCUGCUUCAAAAGACUCCAGAAUCUUCCUGGUUCUCAGAGAAGGCUGAAUCCACCUAUGACCUAGUGGGUGCAUCCUGUGCCAAAAUUGUUUACCUUCUGGUCCCCGGAGCCACGGGUCACGACCUGGUCCUCACGUAGGCCCGCUCCUCAGCAGCCCCCACCUCACUGGGGAAGAAGGAGAGCCCUGGGGGUGUGGAGAAGCCCCCGCAUCCCUCACAUCUUACAGAAUCUCUAUUGAGUCCCUGGGGACACAUCCCUCAGCAGGACAGGAACAGUCUUUGCCACGGCAUGGGGAGGGCUGUGCUGGGGACGAGCGCCCAGUGGCCGUGGACUAAGUGAAGGAGCAGAUGACCAUGCUCUUCUCCCAGCUGGACGGCGAGGCCGGGCAGGAACCGCAGAAGUUUUGCUCUUCGUUUUCCAACACUUUGCUGUCGAGCUAUUUGAAUAAUAAAUACACAUUAUAAAAAUGUAAA